AAAUUAACCAGAUCAAAAACUGACGAAACACCGUGGAAAACGAAAACGCGGUUCAAACCAAAACCAAAAGCACGCAUUAAAAGAGUUGAAAAUUAACAUCAAGCAACGUUCACUAUUCCAUCCAUCAUCAUCAAAUGGCAGAAGCGCGUUUUAAUAAUUUACGGAAAAGCACAAACGAGAAUGAGAUAACUGAAUCAGACAUGGAAGUUGCUCGGCAACUUAUUCAGCUCAGCCAUGAAGAUAAAAUCACUCGCAAGAGAAAUAGAACAUUGGAGGAAGAUUUAAAGGUUGUUCAACAAGGGAUAAUUAGCACCAAAGCAAUUAGUAAUCAUAAGAUUAAAUCUCACCCGAAGAAUCAGAGGAAAUAUCGCUCUCUUCUCAAUAUAUACAAUGCUACAAAGGAAUCAAAACCCUAAUUCAAGAACCAAGCUUCAUCACGUGUGCACACAAAAAGAUAUACUAUGGGAGAUGAUCAAACAAGCACAUAGUAAAACCCUUAAGAAUCAUGACGUUCUGAUUGCGGCUCAAAAGCUUAUGCAACUCAAGAAAGAGAAGACAAUCUCUUUUGUACAUUUAUUUUCUCCCUCUUUCUCUAUAUGUAGCCUGUAGGAGAUAAUAACUAUUCUUCAAUAAUAAACUAUUGGGUCAUCGGCCCACAUUUUAACGGUUGUAAAAAUCUCGUGUUGCUAUGUAUUUAGUUGUUUUUAGGGGUGUAGGGGAAUUUAUGAGAGCACUUUAAUUAUAUAUUAUUAGCUUAAUCAUCAUCAAUUUGAAUACCAUUAUAUUUAA